rnacentral:rRNA from 1 species
AUUGAACGCUGGCGGCAUGCUUUACACAUGCAAGUCGAACGGUAACAGUUCUUCGGAUGCUGACGAUUGGCGAACGGGUGAGUAAUACAUCGGAACGUGCCUAGUAGUGGGGGAUAACUACUCGCAAGAGUAGCUAAUACCGCAUGAGAUCUACGGCUGCCAGCAGGGGACCUUCGGGCCUUGUGCUACUAGCGCGGCUGAUGGCAGUUUAGGUAGUUGGUGGGGUAAAGGCUUACCAAGCCUGCGAUCUGUAGCUGGUCUGAGAGGACAACCAGCCACACUGGGAGUGAGACACGGCCCAGACUACUAAGGGAGGCAGCAGUGGGGAAUUUUGGACAAUGGGCGAAAGCCUGAACCAGGAAUGCGGCGUGCAGGAGGAAGGCCCUCGGGUUGUAAACUGCUUUUGUACGGAACGAAAAGCCUGGGGCUAAUAUCCCCGGGUCAUGACGGUACCGUAAGAAUAAGCACGGGAUAACUACGUG